GAUGAACGCUGGCGGCGUGCCUAAUACAUGCAAGUCGAGCGAACGGACGAGAGGCUUGCUUCUCUGAUGUUAGCGGCGGACGGGUGAGUAACACGUGGAUAACCUACCUAUAAGACUGGGAUAACUUCGGGAAACCGGAGCUAAUACCGGAUAAUAUUUUGAACCGCAUGGUUCAAAAGUGAAAGACGGUCUUGCUGUCACUUAUAGAUGGAUCCGCGCUGCAUUAGCUAGUUGGUAAGGUAACGGCUUACCAAGGCAACGAUGCAUAGCCGACCUGAGAGCGUGAUCGGCCACACUGGAACUGAGACACGGUCCAGACUCCUACGGGAGGCAGCAGUAGGGAAUCUUCCGCAAUGGGCGAAAGCCUGACGGAGCAACGCCGCGUGAGUGAUGAAGGUCUUCGGAUCGUAAAACUCUGUUAUUAGGGAAGAACAUAUGUGUAAGUAACUGUGCACAUCUUGACGGUACCUAAUCAGAAAGCCACGGCUAACUACGUG
rnacentral:rRNA from 1 species